rnacentral:rRNA from 1 species
AGCAGCCGCGGUAAUUCCAGCUCCAAUAGCGUAUAUUAAAGUUGUCGCAGUUAAAAAAGCUCGUAGUUGAAUUUCGGGAUCAAUACGUCGGUCGUGCUUCGGUACGUACUGGCGUAAUUGAUUUCUCCCUUCUGACGAACCAUGAUGUCAUUAACUUGGUGUCAUGGGAAAUCAGGACUGUUACUUUGAAAAAAAUUAGAGUGUUUAAAGCAGGCUCACGCUUGAAUACAUUAGCAUGGAAUAAUGAAAUAGGACGUUCGAUCCUAUUUUGUUGGUUUCUAGGAUUGACGUAAUGAUUAAUAGGGAUAGUUGGGGGCAUUAGUAUUCAAUUGUCAGAGGUGAAAUUCUUGGAUUUAUUGAAGACUAACUACUGCGAAAGCAUUUGCCAAGGAUGUUUUCAUUAAUCAAGAACGAAAGUUAGG